AUGUUUUGCUAUUUCUCUACGAUGGUCCAUAUGAAAAUUGCAAUUCGUGCUGGUGACCAGUGUCGGAGCCAUAGUCAUUCCCAUAGAUACAAAGUUCUAAAACUGCAGAGGCUUUCGCGUUCCUGUCAAGAACAGCAGAGACAGACACAGAACACACAACGUGCUUGGUUCGAUGAUACAGAAGAAGGCUCAUGGACACUAGAACGACAAGAAUGCCUUAUACCCUCCUUCUCCUUCCUUGAUCCGAUGACACAGACGAACGCCGGUCGGCUCUACCAGAUGGUCUGGAUGACGGGGACGUGCUUGAUCUUGUGGUGGUCCUGGCCGCCGUCCUCCUUGAUCCUCCCCACCAUCUUGGGCAUGCUGUACAGCACCACCUCCUCCAGCUCCUUCAUCCCGCCCAGCGCCUCCGGGAGCAUCUCCAUCUUGGCGCACCGCAGCAGCGUCAGCCGGACCAGCGCCGCCAUCGACCCGGCGCUCACCGCCCACUCCUCCAGGUCCGGCAGCCCCAGCCUCAGCUUCUGCAGGCUCCGGAACGCGCCGUCGCCGAACUCCAGCCGCUCGCCCUCGUACGCGCCCCACAUCAGCGUCAGCUCCGCCAGGCUCGGCAGCUCCCCCAGCAUGUCCACGAACCCCUGCCCCACCAUCGUGCCCCACAUCGACAGCCGCGUCAGGUUCGGCCGGAUGUACCGGACCGCCACCUCGUCGCCGGCAUCGGCAUCAUCCUCCUCGUCCAUGGCCCCCACCAGCCUCAGGCUCUGCAGCCGCCGCAGGCUCGCCACGGUGAACACGGCCGGCGGCAGCGACUCGCCCUGCAGCACCAGGUGCACCAGCAGGUCCAGGCUCUCCAGCGCCGUCACCAGCGCGCCGGCGUUCGCGGCCGUCAGCCCGCUCAGCUCCAGCGACCGGAGGUUGGUGGCCCUCCCCAGCGGGUUGCCGGCGAUGGCGCGCGUGUCCCAGCCGCGGGGCUGCACGCCGUGGAGCGUCUGGAGGCUGUACAGGUCGCCCAGGCACCUGGGCAGCGCGAACGGCGCCACCACGUGCCGCAGCGUCGGGAUCGUCCAGAACGCGGCGGUCACGCCCAGCACGCCGCCGCUCCGGCCCUUGGGGAUCAGAGACUGCAGGUUCACCAGCUUGCUUAUCGUGCUCGGCAGCCUCUCCAGCUGCCCGCACUGGAGGCCCAGGUACCUUAUGUGGAUCAUCGAGCCGAGCUCGUCCGGAAGCUUCUUGAGCUCGAGGCCAUGGAUGUCGAUGACGCGGAGGAACUUGGACGCGUGGAGGAAGCCCAGGUCGGUGGAGUGGAUGCAGACGCUGGGCUUCGCCGCACCGCCGUUGGCGAAGUCGCAGACGAUGGUGCGGAGCUUGGGCAGCGCGUUGCCGAGGUGGACGUGCCUGUCCGUGGUGUUCUGGACGGCGAGGCGGCGCACGGUGGCUGGGGCGAGCACGUCGGUGCUGUCGUGGCUCUCGACGAAGCACGCCUCCUGA
rnacentral:rRNA from 1 species